rnacentral:sRNA from 2 species
GGCACUAAGUAAUGGCUCUAAGCGCUGGGGCGUUAGUUUGCCACCAAGGAUGUUGUUCGUUGCGUAUUCUUCACAUGUCUUCAUUUGCCAGAGCAGUCGACUCUGACGAUUAGCACUGGUCAAAAGUGAGAUCCGCAGUUCCUCAACUGAGAUCAGGAGGGGUGACAGCAUUAGAGCUUUUUUUUGCGAGGAACCACCAAGGAUGGACAAGCUUGUCCCUUGAGGAUCCAGCCUGCAGGAGUUGCGCGAGAGAAGAGCUAGAAUACGGCUCAUUUACGAAUAAUUUACGAAUAAUUUACGAGGUG